rnacentral:rRNA from 1 species
UGUUACUUGGAUAACUGUGGCAAUUCUAGAGCUAAUACAUGCAGCAGAGCUCCGACCUUCGGGAACGAGCGCUUUUAUUAGACCAAAAUCAAUCGGGCCUCGUGUCCGUUGAACGUGGUGACUCUGUAUAACUUUGGGCUGAUCGCACGGGCUUGUCCCGGCGACGUAUCCUUCAAGUGUCUGCCUUAUCAACUGUCGAUGGUAGGUUAUGCGCCUACCAUGGUCGUAACGGGUGACGGGGAAUCAGGGUUCGAUUCCGGAGAGGGAGCCUGAGAAACGGCUACCACAUCCAAGGAAGGCAGCAGGCGCGCAAAUUACCCACUCCCGGAACGGGGAGGUAGUGACGAAAAAUAACRAUACGGGACUCUUUUGAGACCCCGUAAUUGGAAUGAGUACACUCUAAAUCCUUUAACGAUUAUCAAUUGGAGGGCAAGCCAAGUGCCAGCAGCCGCGGUAACACUUGCUCCAAUAGCGUAUAUUAAAGUUGUUGCGGUUAAAAAGCUCGUAGUUGGAUCUCAGUUCUAGUCUAGCGGUCUGCCUACCGGCAGUCACUGCUGGUUCUGAACAACCAGUCGGUUUCCCUUGRUGAUCUUCRCCGGUUGUCUCGGGUGACCGACRMGUUUACUUUGAAUAAAUUAGAGUGCUCAAAGCAGGCGUGACGCCUGAACAAUGGUGCAUGGAAUAAUGGAAUAGGACCUCGGUUCUAUUUUGUUGGUUUUCGGAACACGAGG